AGUGAACGCUGGCGGUAUGCCUAACACAUGCAAGUCGAACGGCAGCACAGUAAGAGCUUGCUCUUACGGGUGGCGAGUGGCGGACGGGUGAGGAAUACAUCGGAAUCUACUUUUUCGUGGGGGAUAACGUAGGGAAACUUACGCUAAUACCGCAUACGACCUACGGGUGAAAGCAGGGGAACUUCGGACCUUGCGCGAUUGAAUUAGCCGAUGUCGGAUUAGCUAGUUGGCGGGGUAAAGUCCCACCAAGGCGACGAUCCGUAGCUGGUCUGAGAGGAUGAUCGGCCACACUGGAACUGAGACACGGUCCAGACUCCUACGGGAGGCAGCAGUGGGGAAUAUUGGACAAUGGGCGCAAGCCUGAUCCAGCCAUACCGCGUGGGUGAAGAAGGCCUUCGGGUUGUAAAGCCCUUUUGUUGGGAAAGAAAAGCAGCAGGUUAAUACCCCGCUGUUCUGACGGUACCCAAAGAAUAAGCACCGGCUAACUUCGUG
rnacentral:rRNA from 1 species